rnacentral:rRNA from 1 species
GACGAACGCUGGCGGCGUGCUUAACACAUGCAAGUCGAACGGAAAGGCCCUGCUUUUGUGGGGUGCUCGAGUGGCGAACGGGUGAGUAACAAGUGAGUAACCUGCCCUUGACUUUGGGAUAACUUCAGGAAACUGGGGCUAAUACCGGAUAGGAGCUUCUGCUGAAUGGUGGGGGUUGGAAAGUUUCGGCGGUUGGGGAUGGACUCGCGGCUUAUCAGCUUGUUGGUGGGGUAGUGGCUUACCAAGGCUUUGACGGGUAGCCGGCCUGAGAGGGUGACCGGCCACAUUGGGACUGAGAUACGGCCCAGACUCCUACGGGAGGCAGCAGUGGGGAAUAUUGCACAAUGGACGGAAGCCUGAUGCAGCAACGCCGCGUGCGGGAUGACGGCCUUCGGGUUGUAAACCGCUUUCGCCUGUGACGAAGCGUGAGUGACGGUAAUGGGUAAAGAAGCACCGGCUAACUACGUG